GACUGCGCGAUGGGCUGCGGGAACUCCACCGCCACAAGCGCGGGCGCGGGCAGAGGCCCUGCAGGAGCAGCCAAAGAUGUAACAGAAGAAUCCAUAACAGAAGAUGACAAGAGGAGAAACUAUGGAGGAGUAUAUGUUGGCUUACCAUCUGAAGCUGUCAAUAUGGUGUCCAGUCAAACAAAGACGCUUCGGAAAAAUUAGAAGAAAAUAACAUCAUGACUCAAGAAUCAAGAGCAUGCUCAUCAACUUGGAAGGAAUUUGGCUCCGUGGGACAUUGUAGUGCGCACAGACAUUUCCAAGGAAAUUCUAAACAGUCACCCUUCCCUCUUGCAUUCCCCCGAAUCUUAAGUGUGUACAUAAAACCCUGGGUACAUAUUGUUGUGGUAGUAGAAGGGAAUUGGUUAAACAGUACACUUUAUGGAACUUUCUGUGGCCACCUACAAAAGACAAGUUAACAAACUGUCAUGGAGGCUGCUGUUGCCUAGCCAGGGCUGCUGCGUUCUGGCAUUUCCACCGUGGCCACUCAACACAUUUCAUGGAGCUCAUGUCUUUUCACUGAUGCUUUUUGAUAGUUUUUAUAUAACAAAAUCUUUAUUCUAUUUAUAACUUGAGACGAUAAGGCACUGUAAAUGAAUGACCUAAAAUAAUACAUUUGUUAUCUUUUGGUAUUUCUACUUCACUUUAAUUUUUAGCUGUAAAAUUGGUACAUGGAUUCUUACAACUAUCUCUUUCUGUUUUUUACUGUUUGGUUUUCAAAUUUCAUUUAAAUGUCAGAAUUUCCUUUUUAGGAACAAUGUGUAUUUCAUUGCAAUAUUUAAAAAUAAACUCAAAUUUGCAUGCCAUA